rnacentral:tRNA from 1 species
UCCCUGGUGGCCCAGUGGUUAGGGCUGUGCAUUUUCACUGCCAAGGGCUCAGGUUCAAUCCUUGGUCAGAGAA